CCUUCCUUAUAGCAAUGCCCAGUAGGAAGGCUUAGCUCGAUAGCCCACUUACUAUAGCCCACUAUAACAGACAGGCACACAUACAUACACACACACACACACACAUAAAAAGACACAUACAUACAAACAGACAGGCACACAUACAGACACACACAGACAGGCACACAUACAGACACACAGACAGGCACCCAUACAUACAAACAUACAGAAAAACAGACAGGCACA